GUGUCAGCCGCCGCGGUAACACGUAGGGCGCAAGCGUUGUCCGGAAUUAUUGGGCGUAAAGAGCUCGUAGGUGGUUUGUUACGUCCGCUGUGAAAACCUAGGGCUUAACCCUGGGCUUGCAGUGGAUACGGGCAGACUAGAGGUAGGUAGGGGAGAAUGGAAUUCCUGGUGUAGCGGUGAAAUGCGCAGAUAUCAGGAGGAACACCGGUGGCGAAGGCGGUUCUCUGGGCCUUACCUGACACUGAGGAGCGAAAGCGUGGGGAGCGAACAGGAUUAGAUACCCUAGUAGUCC
rnacentral:rRNA from 1 species